rnacentral:rRNA from 1 species
AUUGAACGCUGGCGGAAUGCUUUACACAUGCCAGUCGAACGGCAGCACGGGGGCAGCCCUGGUGGCGAGUGGCGAACGGGUGAGUAAUACAUCGGAACGUGCCCGGUCGUGGGGGAUAACGUAGCGAAAGUUACGCUAAUACCGCAUACGAUCUGAUGAUGAAAGCGGGGGACCUUCGGGCCUCGCGCGAUCGGAGCGGCCGAUGUCAGAUUGGGUAGUUGGUGGGGUAAAGGCCUACCAAGCCGACGAUCUGUAGCUGGUCUGAGAGGACGACCAGCCACACUGGGACUGAGACACGGCCCAGACUCCUACGGGAGGCAGCAGUGGGGAAUUUUGGACAAUGGGCGCAAGCCUGAUCCAGCCAUUCCGCGUGCAGGACGAAGGCCUUCGGGUUGUAAACUGCUUUUGUACGGAACGAAAAGGCUCUGGCUAAUACCUGGGGCUCAUGACGGUACCGUAAGAAUAAGCACCGGCUAACUACGUG